rfam:Gorilla gorilla gorilla genomic chromosome, chr18, whole genome shotgun sequence
GCCAGGCAUGGUGGUGCGUGCCUGUAGUCCCAGUUACUUGAGAGGCUGAGGCAGGAGGAUCGCUUGAGCCCAGGAGAUUGAGGCUGGGGUAAGCUGUGUUCACAUCACUGUACUCCAGCCUGGGCAACAGAGCAAGACCCUGUCUCAA